rnacentral:rRNA from 1 species
GGGGGGAACGGUUUCGGGAUACUGGGCGUAAGCGAGCGUAGGUGGCUUGAUAAGUCAGAUGUGAAAUCCCCGGGCUUAACCUGGGAACUGCAUCUGAUACUGUUAAGCUAGAGUAGGUGAGAGGGAAGUAGAAUUCCAGGUGUAGCGGUGAAAUGCGUAGAGAUCUGGAGGAAUACCGAUGGCGAAGGCAGCUUCCUGGCAUCAUACUGACACUGAGGCUCGAAAGCGUGGGUAGCAAACAGGAUUAGAUACCCUGGUAGUCCACGCCGUAAACGAUGUCUACUAGUCGUUGGGUCCCUUGAGGACUUAGUGACGCAGCUAACGCAAUAAGUAGACCGCCUGGGGAGUACGGCCGCAAGGUUAAAACUCAAAUGAAUUGACGGGGGCCCGCACAAGCGGUGGAGCAUGUGGUUUAAUUCGAUGCAACGCGAAGAACCUUACCUGGUCUUGACAUACACAGAAUCUUGUAGAGAUACGAGAGUGCCUUCGGGAAUUGUGAUACAGGUGCUGCAUGGCUGUCGUCAGCUCGUGUCGUGAGAUGUUGGGUUAAGUCCCGCAACGAGCGCAACCCUUGUCCUUAGUUACCAGCGGGUUAAGCCGGAACUCUAAGGAUACUGCCAGUGACAAACUGGAGGAAGGCGGGGACGACGUCAAGUCAUCAUGGCCCUUACGACCAGGGCUACACACGUGCUACAAUGGUAGGUACAGAGGGCAGCUACACAGCGAUGUGAUGCGAAUCUCAAAAAGCCUAUCGUAGUCCAGAUUGGAGUCUGCAACUCGACUCCAUGAAGUAGGAAUCGCUAGUAAUCGCGGAUCAGAAUGCCGCGGUGAAUACGUUCCCGGGCCUUGUACACACCGCCCGUCACACCAUGGGAGUUGAUUGCACCAGAAGUGGUUAGCCUAACUUAGUGAGGGCGAUCACCACGGUGUGGUUGAUGACUGGGGUGAAGUCUAGGGGGGGGCCCCGCAUAAAAAAAGGGGG